rnacentral:misc_RNA from 1 species
GGCUGGUUUGCAGUUCGGAGGCUCCGUAUGAAGGAGAUUCGUGUGGCUUUUCAUGUCAUGUAGAGUGUGCUCUGAAGCAUGAAAGAACCGGGAUUUCAAAGAAUGGACAUUCCACAAGACUUGAUGGGAGUUACUACUGCAUAUACUGUGGGAAAGUAAACGACUUGUUGGGAUGCUGGAGGAAGCAACUUGUGAUUGCAAAGGAUGCUAGACGAGUGGAUGUAUUGUGCUAUCGUGUUUCUCUAAGUCAUAAACUUCUGAGUUCAACAACAAAACACCGAGCCUUGCAUGAGAUUGUGGAUGCGGCACUGAAAAAGCUAGAGUCUGAGGUUGGGUUGCUUAGCGGUUUACCGAGCAUGACACGUGGGAUCGUCAACAGACUUUCUGUUGGUGCUGAGGUUCAGAAGCUAUGUGCCUCUGCUGUUGAGUUAGUCGACUCCAUGCUUCCGUGUGCUUUGCCAGUCGAUACUCAAAUCGGAAAAACUAGGCCCAGUUUCGUGAAAUUGGAAUACGUGUCCCCAACUUCUGUCACUCUAGUGUUGGGUCCAGCAAACGAUCCAUUGCUACCACCAAAUCUCAUCGGCUUUACCCUAUGGCUUCGAAAGGCUGAUGUGGCAGACUAUCUCACAGAACCAACACGAACCCUUGUUAAGGCGGAGGGAAGAUUUCUGAUUUCGGAUCUCACUCCAGCUAC